rnacentral:rRNA from 1 species
AUUGAACGCUGGCGGCAGGCCUAACACAUGCAAGUCGAACGGUAACAGGAAGCAGCUUGCUGCUUUGCUGACGAGUGGCGGACGGGUGAGUAAUGUCUGGGAAACUGCCUGAUGGAGGGGGAUAACUACUGGAAACGGUAGCUAAUACCGCAUAACGUCGCAAGACCAAAGAGGGGGACCUUCGGGCCUCUUGCCAUCGGAUGUGCCCAGAUGGGAUUAGCUAGUAGGUGGGGUAACGGCUCACCUAGGCGACGAUUCCUAGCUGGUCUGAGAGGAUGACCAGCCACACUGGAACUGAGACACGGUCCAGACUCCUACGGGAGGCAGCAGUGGGGAAUAUUGCACAAUGGGCGCAAGCCUGAUGCAGCCAUGCCGCGUGUAUGAAGAAGGCCUUCGGGUUGUAAAGUACUUUCAGCGGGGAGGAAGGGAGUAAAGUUAAUACCUUUGCUCAUUGACGUUACCCGCAGAAGAAGCACCGGCUAACUCCGUG